UAGCUUAGUUGGUAAAGAAUCUGCCUACAAUGCAGGAGACCCGGGUUCAAUCCCUGG
rnacentral:tRNA from 1 species